CUCACCAUAGUUUAUACUAAAACAUUGACUUGCAAAAUCGAAAAAGGAGAUAAAUACCUGGUGUGU
rnacentral:tRNA from 1 species